AACGAACGCUGGCGGCAGGCUUAACACAUGCAAGUCGAGCGAGGGCUUCGGCCCUAGCGGCGGACGGGUGAGUAACGCGUGGGAACGUGCCCUUCUCUCUGGAAUAGCCCUGGGAAACCGGGAGUAAUGCCGGAUACGCCCUCCGGGAAUGGCUCCUCGUGUGGAAAGAUUUAUCGGGGAAGGAUCGGCCCGCGUCGGAUUAGGUAGUUGGUGGGGUAACGGCCUACCAAGCCGACGAUCCGUAGCUGGUUUGAGAGGAUGAUCAGCCACACUGGGACUGAGACACGGCCCAGACUCCUACGGGAGGCAGCAGUGGGGAAUCUUGGACAAUGGGGGCAACCCUGAUACAGCCAUGCCGCGUGAGCGAUGAAGGCCUUAGGGUUGUAAAGCUCUUUCAGCGGGGAAGAUAAUGACGGUACCCGCAGAAGAAGCCCCGGCUAACUCCGUG
rnacentral:rRNA from 1 species